rnacentral:rRNA from 1 species
UACGUAGGCAGCGAGCGUUGUUCGGAGUUACUGGGCGUAAAGAGUGCGUAGGCGGUUUUCUAAGUUUGGUGUGAAAUCUCCCGGCUUAACUGGGAGGGUGCGCCGAAAACUGGAAGGCUUGAGUAUGGGAGAGGUAAGCGGAAUUCCUGGUGUAGCGGUGAAAUGCGCAGAUAUCAGGAGGAACACCAAUUGCGAAGGCAGCUCGCUGGGACGGUACUGACGCUGAGACGCGAAAGCGUGGGGAGCAAACAGG